GACGAACGCUGGCGGCGUGCCUAAUACAUGCAAGUCGAACGAACUCUGGUAUUGAUUGGUGCUUGCAUCAUGAUUUACAUUUGAGUGAGUGGCGAACUGGUGAGUAACACGUGGGAAACCUGCCCAGAAGCGGGGGAUAACACCUGGAAACAGAUGCUAAUACCGCAUAACAACUUGGACCGCAUGGUCCGAUUUUGAAAGAUGGCUUCGGCUAUCACUUUUGGAUGGUCCCGCGGCGUAUUAGCUAGAUGGUGGGGUAACGGCUCACCAUGGCAAUGAUACGUAGCCGACCUGAGAGGGUAAUCGGCCACAUUGGGACUGAGACACGGCCCAAACUCCUACGGGAGGCAGCAGUAGGGAAUCUUCCACAAUGGACGAAAGUCUGAUAGAGCAACGCCGCGUGAGUGAAGAAGGGUUUCGGCUCGUAAAACUCUGUUGUUAAAGAAGAACAUAUCUGAGAGUAACUGUUCAGGUAUUGACGGUAUUUAACCAGAAAGCCACGGCUAACUACGUGCCAGCAGCCGCGGUAAUACGUAGGUGGCAAGCGUUGUCCGGAUUUAUUGGGCGUAAAGCGAGCGCAGGCGGUUUUUUAAGUCUGAUGUGAAAGCCUUCGGCUCAACCGAAGAAGUGCAUCGGAAACUGGGAAACUUGAGUGCAGAAGAGGACAGUGGAACUCCAUGUGUAGCGGUGAAAUGCGUAGGUAUAUGGAAGAACACCAGUGGCGAAGGCGGCUGUCUGGUCUGUAACUGACGCUGAGGCUCGAAAGUAUGGGUAGCAAACAGGAUUAGAUACCCUGGUAGUCCAUACCGUAAACGAUGAAUGCUAAGUGUUGGAGGGUUUCCGCCCUUCAGUGCUGCAGCUAACGCAUUUAGCAUUCCGCCUGGGGAGUACGGCCGCAAGGCUGAAACUCAAAGGAAUUGACGGGGGCCCGCACAAGCGGUGGAGCAUGUGGUUUAAUUCGAAGCUACGCGAAGAACCUUACCAGGUCUUGACAUACUAUGCAAAUCUAAGAGAUUAGACGUUCCCUUCGGGGACAUGGAUACAGGUGGUGCAUGGUUGUCGUCAGCUCGUGUCGUGAGAUGUUGGGUUAAGUCCCGCAACGAGCGCAACCCUUAUUAUCAGUUGCCAGCAUUAAGUUGGGCACUCUGGUGAGACUGCCGGUGACAAACCGGAGGAAGGUGGGGAUGACGUCAAAUCAUCAUGCCCCUUAUGACCUGGGCUACACACGUGCUACAAUGGAUGGUACAACGAGUUGCGAACUCGCGAGAGUAAGCUAAUCUCUUAAAGCCAUUCUCAGUUCGGAUUGUAGGCUGCAACUCGCCUACAUGAAGUCGGAAUCGCUAGUAAUCGCGGAUCAGCAUGCCGCGGUGAAUACGUUCCCGGGCCUUGUACACACCGCCCGUCACACCAUGAGAGUUUGUAACACCCAAAGUCGGUGGGGUAACCUUUUAGGAACCAGCCGCCUAAGGUGGGACAGAUGAUUAGGGUG
rnacentral:rRNA from 2 species